rnacentral:lncRNA from 1 species
GUUUUUAGCUGUUAAAAGAGGGUCUGUUUCAUUUCGCAACUGUGGAGCAUUUGGCUUUGAGAGAUAGAAAAAUAAGAUCUUUACUUUCCAGAAACUUAUGAGCAAACAGUGAGAAGAGGUCAGCACCCAUCUAUAAUAAUCAUCAGUGAUAGGAACUUUAAUAGAAGCAUCAGGUAUGGAAUUAAAAAGGAGAAAUGGUUUUAGUUUAUUUUCAAAGAUUCUUUCAUAAGGCUCAAAUUUAUCAAAAAUAUACUUGCUGUGUCCUAGAAAAACAGGAGGUAGAAAGAUACCAAAUGGCCCUGACCUUAGGGAAUGGAGCUCAGAAUAAGUGUUUUACUACUGUUUCAUCAAGGGCAGCCAGUCUUUUGGUGCCUUCCCAUUACUUUAGUGAUGGAUGACAUCCAAAAUCCUUACUAUGUUCUGCUGUGAUCCUGUGAUCUGGCCAUGCCUAUAUCUUCAGCCUUCCAGGAUCUCUGGCCUUUUAGUUACUCGGAUUUCCCUUAGUAACUCAGGAUCCCUUGCCUAUAGACCUACUGCCACCCUCAUGUCUGAACACUUCUUCUGCUUCCUUGGUCCCAGUUUAAAUGCCACCUCUUCAUAGAACCCUUCCUUGAUGUUCCAGACAAAUUCCAGGGAUUUUCUUACUUGCUGUUAAGCCUGUAGGUAUUCAGGCACCCUGCUCUUAUUCCUUCAAGCACCUUUCUACUUCUUGUGUAGGAAUUGGUGGCUGUCUUCUCUACCAGAAGGUAAGUACCAUGAGAGCAAAGUACCUGUCUGUCUGUUUCACAGUUGCGUCCUCAGCCCCAAGCAUGGUGCUUAAUAUUGGUGAAGAAUAAAGAGUUGUAGAAGGAAGGAAAAAGAAUUGGUUUCUAGCCCUGACCCUCCUGCUCACCAGCUCCGUGACUUUUGGUAUUUCACCACUAGAGUCUCCAUUUCUUAUCUGUAGAAUGGGAAUAAUGAUGACAGUGGCACUUGAAUGUGCUAGGCACUGUGCUUUACUGGUCUUACCUCCUCCAUUAAGCCUCAUGGGAGUGGUGAACUGAUUUUCUUGAGGUCACACAGUUUGAAAUAGAAAACAGGAUUUAAAUCCUGGUCUAAUUCCAAAAACUGAUUGUUUUUCUCCACGCCUAUGAUUGUCCUGGGGGUAAAUCCAGGAGGGGAGAAAUUCCUUGAUACAGGAUUGUAUGGAUGCCCCGGCUGGGAAUGUUGACAUUAAUGAGGAAGCCAGCUGGAGAACUCUUAAACCAGUUUUAGGGACAAUGUGUGGGAUUAACUCCAUUUAUUUAUUUAUUUUUUAUUUGUGACAGCAGAGGGCAUUUUUAUUUUUAACAGAUUUUUUCCCCCAACAUAUUAAAUUUUUUAUUAUACUUAAUUUACAAUGUUCUGUCAAUUUCUACUCUAAGAUUAACUCCAUUUAGAUGAAGUGACUUGUAAACUGAGCCUUGACUUCUAAACUGUAGUCAGUUGGAUGUAGAAGAGGCUUGUAGUGUGAAUGCCCUGAGGCAGUCACUGGGGCUGCUGAGUGAAGAGCCUUGCAAGUUGGGCCCAGAGUUGCUGGUAAAAUGCUUUAGGGAGACGUCAAUGGGUUUACUUACUAAAAAUAUUUUGGAAGCAGAAAGUCUCAAUUUGGAGUCUCUUUGGGGGCACAAGUGUCCAAAGCCCUCCCAGUUUGCAUCUCUGUAGCAAAGGAUGCAUUUCAGCUGAUUUUUUCCUUCCACUGUAGUACCCAGCACCAACGGUGUUUGAAAAGGAAUCGCCAGUGUGAGGUAAGGGAUGGAUGUUUUUGUUCAGUUGUUUGAUAUGAUUCUUUUGUUGUUUGUUAUGGUUUUUCUUCUAUAAGAGUAGGUUACCUAGCCCAGAUAGGUGGCACCUGUGCACAGGUUACCUUACCUUUGUAGCCUCAGUUUCUCUUUUGGGAAUUAGGGACAGUUAAAAUAUCUACAUCAAAAAAUAAUAAUAAUAGAAAAAUAAAACAUCUACGUCAUAGGCCUGUUGUGUAAUAUCCACACAGUGCAUGGUACAAAAUAAGCUUUCAGGCAGUGUUAGCUGUUAUUGUUGUUAAUACUUCCUGUCCAUUCCCGUCUGCGGAUGGACAUUGUUUAUUUCUCAAAGACAGGUUGACUGGGGCAUAGAAACUGACUUUUUUUUUAAAGUUUAGGGUUUACAAAGAUAGUAAAAUUGGCAAUGAAAAGAAGGCAAUGAAACACCUUAGCUGAGCAGUCCCAGUGUUUCCUAGUUGUGUUUAUGAUGAAAUGUAAAAUGUGAUCACAAGCCGAUUCUUACAGAAUCCAUUGUGGGCUAGGGCUGUGCUCUCCAUGUAUUCUCCCUGAGAAGUAGUUUUGAUUUUAUCUAUUUUAUAGAUAGGAAGUUAUGAUCUUUUCUAAGAUGUUCUCAGACAACUAUAGAAGUAGCUGUUAACCAUUUGCUUCUCCAAACCCAUUUUGCACCUUUAGCAUUGUAAAGACCUGACUUAUCUUCCAACAACUUCAGCAGCUUGGCUGAGGGGGGAAAAUGGGAACAGAGCUCUUAAUUUUUUCUGACUCUAUUGAAUUAAUUGCAAGCACUAGGUAUAGUGUGCUAGUUAAUGCAUAGAAAAGGCUCAAAAAUGUUUAUUGAAUAUAAAUUUUAAUCAGAUUGAGUGAGAAAAAGAUGAUAGAGAAAAGCAGUAUUAGAUGCUGGUCUUGCCCUAUUUUGUAUUAAAAAAAAAGAGUGAUGGGAGUUCCUGUCAUGGUGCAAUGGAAAUGAAUCCAGCUAGGAACCAUGAGGUUUGCUGGUUGGAUCCCUUGCCUUGCUCAGUGGGUUAAGGAUCUGAUGUUUCCGUGAGCUGUGGUGUAGGUUGCAGAUGUGGCUUUGAUCCUGUGUGGCUGUGGCAGUGGCAUAGGCUGGCAGCUGCAGCUCUGAUUAGACCCCUAGCCUGGGAACCUCCAUGUGCCAUGGGUGCAUCCCUAAAAAGACAAAAGACAAAAAAAACAAACAAACAAACAAACAAAAAAAACUGAGGACACCAAAGAUUUUAUGAGCAUAGUCUGUUUAUACAGACUAACAGUUGGAAUCUGAGGUGGAGAAUUUUCUUGUAUGUAUUGCAUAGUAUUAACUCUAGUCAGUGUGGUUCAGUUAUCUACAGAAAUCUGUUUACUUCCCAGUAGGUGCCUCUACUGCCCACGAAGCUCCUGGUUCUCUCUUUGUGUCGGGCAGAUUAGUUUAGUCUCAAGGAAGAUAAACUAUAUAACAUUAAAAUAUUCAGGCCAGGAGUUCCCUGGUGGCUCAGUGGGUUAAGGAUCUGGCAUUGUCACUGCUGUGACACUGGUUACAGCUGUAUUGAGGGUUUGAUCCCUGGCCCAGGAGCUCCCACAUGGCAUGGAGUGCGGCCAAACAAACCUCAGACCAAAAAUAAGAAGGUGUAGCUACUGCUAGAGGUCAUCAUCAGUGUAUUUCAUAGUUAGAUCUGACUGAUAUUAGUGUUUUCCUUUAACUCAAAGUAAUUAAGAGCAGACCUAAAGUAAAUAGCAUGUAAUGGUAAUGGGGGGAAAGGAGGAAACCUUGCAUACAACAGUAGGCCAGCUACAUGCAUUUAAUUCUAGAUUUUCACUCCCUCCCCACAACAACAGGAAAAAAAACCUUCAUUCCCUCCCUUUCUUCCUUCCUUCCUCCCUUCCCAUCCCUUCCCUUCCCUUUCAUAGGAGCUUCAUUGCAAUAAGGCAUUUAUUGGUCUUAUCAAACCUGAAAGUUUGGCCAGUCAGAUGAUAGUUUGAUUACUAAGCAUCUUCAUGAUUUAUCAUGUUAUGCCAUAAAACGAAGAUAAUAUUUGAGAUAAUUGUGUUAAUUUACUAUAGAACUAGUUCAUGUAGAAAUUUAAAUGUGUCCGACAUUAGAAGACUUUGAUAAGCACCAAUUCCCAUAUCUUGGUUUCUAAUACUAUUUUCCAAUAAAAGGAACCAGACAUGACUUAAUUCUGUGGCUAGGGCAGGGAAAUAAGCAAGAUGAGGCUGGAGCCUCCUCUAAUGCCAGAAAGCGAGAAAGUAACAAAACAACACAAAACAAAACACACAGAUAUAUAGCACAAUGAUGGAGUAGUCAAAGGGACACAGGAGCCAGAGAGAGCUCCCAGUGCUCACAGUUGAGGUGAUUUAUAAAUAAUAUAGUUUUAAAUUGUAGCCCAAUAUGUAAAACAAAUAAAAUAUAUAAUGUACAUAUAAUGCUAAUAUAAAUAUAUGUAAUAUAAAUAUAGAAAAAUAAUAUAGAACACUCACGAGUCUGUUCUGAUACAAAUGAGUGAUUGAAUAAGCAAAUAAUAAAUUUUCCACAUGCAGGAAUUCCAAGUGGUUUUUGUCGAUAAUCCCUCAAAAGGAAGUGAAACCUGACUGCCCAUCCCAUCAGUGUGGGCCUUGUAUAGUAACUUCCUUCCCUGGAGCACAGUGUGGAAAGGGGAGGGAGAACCUUUAUAGUGGAGAAACCUGACAGACACGACAACGACUUCAGCUACAUGAUCAAGUUAACAUGAACAGUGAUGAUGUGCGCUUGAUGUGAUGUAAUGAGGGUGGCACUUUAGCUGUGGGUCUACCACCCCAGUUCUGAUAAUCCUGUUAUAAUCAUGAGAAAAACCUUGGACAGACAAUUUAACACUUGCCACAAAAUACCUCACCAGUACUCCUUAAAACUGUUGUAAGAUUAUCAUAAAAGGAAAGUCUGAGAAACUCUCAGGGUCUAGAGGAGGUGUAAGGAGACAUGACAACUAAGUGUAACAUGAUAGAGAUGGAAUCCUGGUGCAGAAGAAGGGCAUUAGGCAAGAACUGGGGAGACCUGAAUAGAGCAUGGACCUCAGUUAUUAAUAAUGCAUCAAUAUUGGUUCAUUAGUUGUGACACAUGUGGCCCACUAACAUAAGAGGUGAACAAUAGGGGAAACGGGGUGCAGAAUAUGUAGAGAAUGUAAUCUUUACACCUUCUCAGCAAACUUAAAAUCAUUCUAAAAUUAAAGGUUUAUUU